UCACUUCAGCAGUGAGGGCUCAGCCCCUUCCCCUUGGAAAAAGACUUCAAGUCCUGCUCCCCGCACCCCAGCUCAGCCUGGUGUGAAUGAAAUUCAAAUCGAGCUCUGACAGCCCCAUGAAUUGUCUGUUUUCCAGCCUGCCUCCCGCUCUUUCAUCUUCACGGCAGAAACGGUGAAAUAAUCCGUUCCCAUCUCUACAAAGGCCCCACCACACCCCAGUUGCCUGUGUCUCAAGAGAAACGUGGUGUGGGGACCAUUUGGAGCCUCUUUACAAACAACGUCGCCACAUCCUGAGACUGCCUGGGAAUUGCCGUCCAACAAGGAGGAAACAGCUCUGGCCUGCUGAUGACAAUAUAGUCUUCAAUUGCCCCGGACAGCUCAAUCACCUCUGGCAAGUACAGCCAACCCCUGAACUUCACGUCACCCCCCUGAGCCUUGGGGUCACAUCUGCCCAAUCGGGAGAGACUCACAGCACUAACCUCACGUUCACAAGACGCUGCAGGUAAUGUGCUUGGUGAUAUGUGCAGUAAGGAGCCGCUAGAUGUUUGCCCCAUAGGGAGAGCCACCAGGGGGUCGUCAUUGCUGCCAUUUCCC
rnacentral:lncRNA from 13 species